rnacentral:rRNA from 1 species
GCUAACUACGUGCCAGCAGCCGCGGUAAAACGUAGGAGACGAGCGUUAUUCGGAUUUACUGGGCGUAAAGCGCAUGCAGGUGGUUUGGUAAGUUGGAUGUGAAAGCUCCUGGCUUAACUGGGAGAGGUCGUUCAAAACUGCCAGACUUGAGAAUGGGAGAGGGAGGUGGAAUUCCGGGUGUAGUGGUGAAAUGCGUAGAUAUCCGGAGGAACACCAGUGGCGAAAGCGACCUCCUGGCCUGUUUCUGACACUCAGAUGCGAAAGCUAGGGUAGCAAACGGGAUUAGAUACCCGUGUAGUC